rnacentral:rRNA from 1 species
UGGGGAAUCUUGCGCAAUGGGCGAAAGCCUGACGCAGCGACGCCGCGUGUGGGAUGACGGCCUUCGGGUUGUAAACCACUGUCGGGAGGGACGAAGUUCUGACGGUACCUCCAAAGGAAGCACCGGCUAACUCUGUGCCAGCAGCCGCGGUAAUACUGAGGGUGCGAGCGUUGUCCGGAAUCACUGGGCGUAAAGGGCGCGUAGGCGGCCUGAUAAGUCGGGGGUGAAAUCCUGUGGCUCAACCGCAGGGCUGCCUCCGAGACUGUCGGGCUCGAGCACAGUAGAGGCAGGUGGAAUUCCCGGUGUAGCGGUGGAAUGCGUAGAGAUCGGGAAGAACAUCGGUGGCGAAGGCGGCCUGCUGGGCUGUUGCUGACGCUGAGGCGCGACAGCGUGGGGAGCAAACAGGAUUAGAUACCCUGGUAGUCCACGCCGUAAACGAUGGGCACUAGGCGUCGGGGGGAGCGACCCUCCCGGUGCCGUCGCUAACGCAGUAAG